UGGAAGGAGGAAGAGGUCUCCAGAGGAAGAGUCAUCCCAUUUUAAGAUAGAUGUCUAAGAUAUUCGAGGAAAAUUGGAGUUGCUAAGCAACCCCAUCUGGAAUUUCUUUGUCUCUCUCAACCGACUACAAAGGGAACCCUGCUGACAACCUCAACUGUUUGCCUAAUUUUCAACAACUGAUGCUAGAAGAAGCAAAUCUAGCAAAAAGACUAUCUGGUUUUCCAUCUAACCUCCUUUUUUCAAGACUUUGGCUUUCAACAAGACCAAAGCAUUAGGCCUUGAGGAAGUUAAAGAAUAAGCAAGAAACUUAAGGUGAGGUGAAGAAAAAUGCAAAUAGAGAAACUAAUCAAAAAUUUCAAGAUUUUAAAACAUUUCCC
rnacentral:lncRNA from 1 species